GGGGAUGUAGCUCAAAUGGUAGAGCACCUACUUUGCAUGCGGGAGGUACAGGGUCGAUCCCCUACAUCUCCA
rfam:Lupinus angustifolius cultivar Tanjil chromosome LG10, whole genome shotgun sequence.